AACGAACGCUGGCGGCAUGCCUAACACAUGCAAGUCGAGCGCCCGUAGCAAUACGGGAGCGGCGCACGGGUGAGUAACGCGUGGGAACCUGCCCAGAGGUUCGGGGACAACCGCGGGAAACUGCGGCUGAUACCGGAUGAUACCUGAGGGUCAAAGAUUUAUCGCCUUUGGAGGGGCCCGCGUCGGAUUAGGUAGUUGGUGGGGUAACGGCCUACCAAGCCUAUGAUCCGUAACUGGUCUGAGAGGAUGACCAGUCACACUGGGACUGAGACACGGCCCAGACUCCUACGGGAGGACAGCAGUGGGGAGUAUUGGACAAUGGGGGGCAACCCUGAUCCAGCAAUGCCGCGUGGGUGAUGAAGGCCUUCGGUUGUAAAGCCUUUCGCGGGCGAUGAUGACGGUA
rnacentral:rRNA from 1 species